GUGAAUCAUCGAAUCUUUGAACGCACAUUGCGCCCUCUGGCAUUCCGGGGGGCAUGCCCGUUCGAGCGUCAUUAAAACCCAUCAAGCCUGGCUUGGUAUUGGGCGACGGGACCUCCCCGCGCCCCGAUUUCGUCGGCUAGACGACUGCGGUCUCUCAAGCGUUUGUGUAAAAUCUCGGUUGUUAGACGGGCGUCGGGCCGUUAAACACUUCUAAUCAAGUUGACCUCGGAUCGGGUAGGAAUACCCGCUGAACUUAAGCAUAUCAAUAAGCGGAGGA
rnacentral:misc_RNA from 1 species